rnacentral:lncRNA from 1 species
AUGUCAUUCGGACUAGAGAAGUGUGGUCGGAUGGUGACUAAGAGAGGGAAGGUAGUCCAUACAGAAGGGGUCUCACUUCCAGAAGGAACAAUGGCAGACAUUGAGGACAGUUACAAGUACCUCAGAAUCCCGCAAGCAAAUGACAACCUCGAAGAGGUGACAAGGAAAGCGGCUACGGCCAAAUACCUCCAACGAGUACGGCAGGUCCUAAGAAGCCAGCUCAAUGGCAAGAACAAGUCCCGGGCAAUAAACAGCUACGCCCUGCCAGUAAUCAGAUACCCUGCAGGAAUAAGAAGCUGGCCAAAGGAUGAGAUACAGACCACAGAUGUUAAGACACAAAAGCUCCUAACCAUGGACGGAGGGUUCCACCCCAAAUCCAGCACUCUGAGACUGUACGCUAGCCAUAAGGAAGGAGGCCGAGGACUAGUGAGUGUGAGAAACACUAUCCAGGAUGAAACAUCUAAGAUCCAUAAGUACAUCAAGGACAAGGCUCCAACAGAUGACGUGCUCAGUGAAUGUCUCAGACAAUGGAGAACAGAAGAUGAGGUGCUGGAGGUUCCAUCAUGGGAGGACAAGCCCCUACAUGGGAUGUACCACCCAAACAUAACUGAAGUGGUGGAUAUCAGGAAAUGGUACCAAUGUCUAGACAGAGCUGGACUAAAGGACAGCACAGAGACACUCAUCAUGGCUGCACAGGAGCAGGCCUUGAGCACCAGAGCAAUAGAGGCCCAGAUCUACCACACCAGACAAGACCCCAGGUGUAGACUGUGCAAAGAGGCCCCUGAGACAAUCCAGCACAUAACUGCAGGGUGUAAGAUGCUGGCAGGGAAAGCUUACAUGGAGCUCCAUAACCAAGUGACUGGUAUAGUGUACAGGAACAUCUGUGCAGAGUAUGGGCUGGAAACCCCAAGGUCAAAGUGGGAAACACCUCCAAAGGUGGUAGAGAAUGGCCGAGCCAAGAUCCUGUGGGACUUCCAGAUACAGACGGACAGAAUGGUAAUGGAGAACCAACCAGACAUUGUGGUGGUUGUCAUAGCAACACCGAGUGACUGCAACAUCAGGAAAAAGGAACACGAGAAACUCGAGAAAUACCAGGGGCUCAGAGAAGAGUUGGAGAAGGUCUGGAGGGUGAAGGCAUCAGUGGUGCCCGUGGUCAUUGGGGCACUCGGGGCAGUGACCCCCAAACUGGAGGAGUGGCUCCAGCAGAUCCCAGGAAAUACAUCAGACAUCUCAGUCCAGAAAAGUGCAGUUCUAGGAACAGCAAAGAUACUGAAGAACCCUCAAGAUUUUGGAGGAAAAAAGAGAGAGACCGCCCACAGUGGGUGA